rnacentral:rRNA from 1 species
GACGUAGGUGGCGAACGUUAUCCGGAAUUAUUGGGCGUAAAGGGUGCGUAGGCGGCGGGAUAAGUUAUUGGCGGCAAAUCGAGGCUCAACCUCGUGGAAACUGAUAAUACUGUCUUGCUUGAGUACAGAAGAGGUUAACGGAACUCCAUGUGGAGCGGUAAAAUGCGCAGAUAUCAGGAAGAACACCCGUGGCGAAGGCGGUUCUCUGGAACGCAACUGACGCUGAGACGCGAAAGCGUGGGGAGCAAACAGG